rnacentral:rRNA from 1 species
AGCGAACGCUGGCGGCGUGCCUAACACAUGCAAGUCGAACGUGAACGGCUUCGGCCUAGUAAAGUGGCGUACGGGUGAGUAACGCGUAGGUAAUCUACCCCAGAGUCUGGAAUAACCUGCCGAAAGGCGGGCUAAUACUGGAUAGAGCGACGGAACUCGUAAUUGGGUUUUUCGGGAAAGGGAGCUCGCAAGAGCCCUUGCUUUGGGAUGAGCCUGCGUCUCAUUAGCUAGUUGGUGGGGUAAUGGCCUACCAAGGCAUUGAUGGGUAGCUGGUCUGGAAGGAGGAUCAGCCAAACUGGAACUGAAACACGGUCCAGACUCCUACGGGAGGCAGCAGUGGGGAAUCUUGCGCAAUGGACGAAAGUCUGACGCAGCCACGCCGCGUGAGUGAAGAAGGCCUUCGGGUUGUAAAGCUCUGUCGCCCGGGACGAAAAUGCGGUGAGUGAAUAGCUCAUUGUACUGACGGUACCGGGAAAGGAAGCACCGGCUAACUUCGUGCCAGCCGCCGCAGUAA